rnacentral:rRNA from 1 species
AGUGAACGCUGGCGGUAGGCCUAACACAUGCGAGUCGAACGGCAGCACAGUAAGAGCUUGCUCUUACGGGUGGCGAGUGGCGGACGGGUGAGGAAUACAUCGGAAUCUACUUUUUCGUGGGGGAUAACGUAGGGAAACUUACGCUAAUACCGCAUACGACCUACGGGUGAAAGCAGGGGAUCUUCGGACCUUGCGCGAUUGAAUGAGCCGAUGUCGGAUUAGCUAGUUGGCGGGGUAAAGGCCCACCAAGGCGACGAUCCGUAGCUGGUCUGAGAGGAUGAUCAGCCACACUGGAACUGAGACACGGUCCAGACUCCUACGGGAGGCAGCAGUGGGGAAUAUUGGACAAUGGGCGCAAGCCUGAUCCAGCCAUACCGCGUGGGUGAAGAAGGCCUUCGGGUUGUAAAGCCCUUUUGUUGGGAAAGAAAAGCAGCAGGUUAAUACCCCGCUGUUCUGACGGUACCCAAAGAAUAAGCACCGGCUAACUUGGUG